UUGUCUUGUCUCCCUUCGCUGCGCUUGAUCGGUUUCAACUGUGUGUACAUAGCACAACAGUAACAUUCUAACCUUAUACUAAUGAUGUCGGAGGACCUGAGAGCGGCAUCAUAACUCACUUACGGAUCACAAAAUAAACUGUCGAAAAUCAUCACAGACAGUAGGUACAACACCGCAUGUUAUCGGAAUUGGAACGCCGCUCAAUGAAUGAGGAUGGGAAGGCGCAGGAGGAUAGAUGGGUGGUGGGCGGUUGAUGGGCGGAUACCAAGUAACAACAACAAUAUCGGCACCAUCACACGCUAAUAGCAUCAGUGGCAAUAAUAAGCUAUAAUAAUAUCUAUAUCAAUGGAUGAUGACGAUAAACGUUUUCCGCUCCGUCUCAAAGUUGCCGCUGCUGCAUUUAGUACGACCAAAGCGAGGAAGAAGCAAAACUGUCUUAUGUGGUUAUGAACACAUUUUCAAGUUUUCCUCUACAGUAAUUUUGUAUUGAACUAAACCUUCUUCCACCUCUAAUGGCUUAGUACAUGAUCAACUUCAUUUGGAAAAAAACGCUUGA